AUUGAACGCUGGCGGCAGGCCUAACACAUGCAAGUCGAGCGGAGCGGCGGACGGGUGAGUAAUGCCUGGGAAUCUGCCUGGUAGUGGGGGAUAACGUCCGGAAACGGGCGCUAAUACCGCAUACUAUCAGAUGAGCCUAGGUCGGAUUAGCGCGUUGGUGGGGUAAAGGCCGACCAAGGGGACGAUCCGUAACUGGUCGGAGAGGAUGAUCAGUCACACUGGAACUGAGACACUGGCCAGACUCCUACGGGAGGCAGCAGUGGGGCAUAUUUGACAAUGGGCGAAAGCCUUAUCCAGCCAGGCCGCGUGGGUGAAGAAGGUCGUCGGAUUGUAAAGCACUUUAAGUUGGGAGGCGUUACCAACAGAAUAAGCACCGGCUAACUUCGUGCCAGCAGCCGCGGUAGUUC
rnacentral:rRNA from 1 species